rnacentral:tRNA from 1 species
UCCCUGAUGGCUCAGCUGGUAAAGAAUCCACCUGCAAUGUGGGAGACCUGGGUUCGAUCCCUAGGUUGGGAA